ensembl:lncRNA
UUUAUUUACUGAAGAGCUGAACCUCAUUGGACAAGACCCAGCCCUCACAGGAGGGAAUGGAAAACAACAGGACAGCCAGCUGGAGCGCUUAUCCCAAACCAGGCAAGAUUCAACAGCAGGAUUCCCUGCAGCUGGAGAUCUGCAAGACACACAGUGCUCUUUGUAUCUUAUUGUCAACUACUCUUGGCCUUCCUCUGUUACUAAGAGCUGGCUUGAUACAUCGCAGGUCCUGUGGAUAUCGUCCUUGAUUUUCUGUAGAACAUCACAGCAGCUGGCCAGACUGCAGCCCCCACUCUUCCUCUGCCUUUGAUCUGUUCUUACAAGCGGUUUGGUAAUAAACCGGCACCUUUCUUCAGGAAGAGAAAUCUUGCAAAAGAUCAAAGUCCACUGCACAGCUUCCAUUGGAAAGAGAACUAAGUAGGAAACGAAGAAAACAAGGAACCAUCUUGAACUUCUGGGACACCUAUGUGCAUUCACUUAUGCAUAAUACGUAUGGAGACUUCUUUUAGCUUGUGAAAGUGACAUUGGAAAAUGGUCUUCCUUUCACAUUUGCAACACCGCCAUUUGUAUUGCAAGUCAGUUUGCUCUUUUUCCCGGCAGGAUCAAUGUCUAUAGAAUUGCACCAGCCUCUCCAUCCUCUCCCCCCAGCUGUCUUUCCGUUCAUUGUAAAUAAUUCAAACAAUUCCUGUCAUAGACAGAAGGCAGCAUCACCGCUCUCCUUCUCGGUGCAUAGAGAAAAUAGCUCAAAGAUGACAGACUGCCACAGCUCUGUCGCCCCCAGGUGUGAGCUGCUGUCCUGGGACUCUGCAAAUCGCAGGCAGGAAAGUCAUUUCUGCUCUGUGUAGCUUAUUCAGCCAUUUCAGUAUGUGGAAAAGAGACUUCUGCUACUUUGUCAUUUCAGCUGACUCUUCUUUUCUGUGAAAACCACAGCAAAUAAUCAUUAGGAUAUGUUUGUUCUGAGACUUCUCAUUUCUUUCUUUCUGUUGAAAUCACAUUUAUGUAACUUUACAAAUUUUCACAUGGAUAUCUUUGAUAACAAAUUAAAGCAAAAAUAGCUGAAAAUGAACGGAAGAUAGCCGCUGUACUUUUUAUGCCACAUAGGAACCAGGGGAAAAGAUAAUAAAUAUAAAAGGUGGAAGGGAAAUAACCAAUCUCCUAUUUUUCCACACCUAUCUAAUAGAAAUGUAGAUUUAAAGAACGCAAUCAUAGUUUUCCUUCAUUGGAAUAGAAUAUCCUAGUAUGGAGAAAGAAGUAAAAGCAUGUGGGAGUUUUCUCAUUUAGGCUUUUUGUUUUUUUUUAAAGAAGAAACUUUGAUAAAAGGCUCCCCACAGUUCUUGGUGUGCCUGGCCUCUGUACAGGCCUUACCAGAGCAGCCCUUGUGGGGUCCGUGCUCCUCUAGCACCAGGACAAGAAUCCCUUGCAGUGUCAGAGCAGCUCAGCAGACACUUCCCACCUUCCUUCAGGGCUGAGCCGUAGCCCCAGACACAUAAAUGGGGAGGAUAUAACUUUAUGGAGCUUGGGUGGAGGGACUUCUGCUUAUAUCAGGUCAACUGCAAACGCUGUGAGGUUCUGUCUAGCCAGCCAGGACUGAACCUAGCACUAGCAUGCAUUUGUGAAACCGCAGGACAAGUGUGAUGCAUGGAUGCCACUGAGCAGGCAGCAAUGCAUAACCUCGUGCUGGGACAGAGGGGACCAUAGGCUGCAGUAGGCUGGGGGCAGUGAUUCUCCUGAGGUUACCUUCAGGCUGUGUACUGCAUGAGGCUUCACACAUACAGGAUGUAGAAUAAUGUCACUGAUAUAAAGAUAUCACUUCCAGGUUUCUUCACAUGCAAACAUGCUUAGCUUUCUACCCACUGGACUCAAAACACUGCAGACACAAAUCUCAGGUAUGCUAUUCUGUUAGAAAAACAUCUUACCCUGGAUUUAACGUGCCUGGUAAGGAAGAAAUAGCUGCAGUAAAUCAUUCUCAUGGUCAGUUACUCUCUAUGUAAACACUUCAGUGUUUACCUGAUGAAAGAGAGCUUUUGUCAUCGACUUUAACUUGCACCCAUUUCCUCCUACUUCCUACUUCACUUCUUUGUGUUUUCUGCUUCCUCAUCUCAUUUUACUCUCAGCUAUUGUUUUCUUCUUCAUCCCCGCCAGCUUCGCUUCCUACCCGACUCUGAUUGUUUCUGUCUUCUCAGCCUUUUUCUCCCUCCCGGUUUCCUCUUGCAACAUCCCUGCUCUUCUGAAUUGAUCUGCUUUGCAGAAUUUCAUCAUGUCUGAAUACAACGGCGGCACAGAGCCGACUGUGAUUUAGUCACCAGCAAUUUGUUGCUUUACCAUAAUGAAACCCUGUCACAAACAAAAUUCCAUCAUUUGAGAAGUAUUUCCUGUGUGAGAAUUAGAGUUUUGUACGAGAAGGGCAUUUCUACUGUGGCAAGCCCCUCUCCCACCUCAUUCUUUUCAGAGCCAAAAAAUUUCAUUUACUUCAGUAUAAGAGAAUGCCAAACCGGUCCUUCUGGGGAGGGGAAGAAGUAGUGCAAACUACUGAUAAUCAAGAUAAAUCAAUCCAUGACGUAGAACAUAAGCACUAUGCUCCAUUCAAUUCAGCUAGGGAGCUCAACUUGUUCAGCACUGUAGGUUAUUUUCCAUUUGUAAUUAGAGCAACAAAGAAACAGCCUUUCCUUGUUCUGCUCCAUCAGCACAGCCCCAGCAAACAUCCUCAUUUUCAAUAACUCUUCCCCUUUAUCUCACUCUGCCCGAUGCCUAAUAAGCUGAUUGCUAUUUACUUUGGACCAACAGCUAAUCUGUUAAUGAUUGAUUUUAAAUUUUUACAGUCAUUUGUCUUUGGCAGGACUCGAGAGUGUGAGCAGCAGUCUUUCCUACCUGAUGAAUUGGCUUUUCUUUAAAAAAAAAAAAAAAAAAAGAUUUAAGUCAGAAGUCUUCACUGUUAUGUUUUGCUGACAAACAGCUGAUGUGCAGUGAGCAAAGCUUAGAAAAAAGGGCAAAUCUUCAUACAAAAUUCAUCAGCCCUUGAAACCGUCAGCAAAUAAUAUAAGUGGACAUUUUGUUAAUAGUUGUAGAGGGGUAAAGACCUACUUAUGAAGUAAAACAUAAUUGUACUAUAAAUUCACAGGGUUUAAAAUUCUUAAUUAACAAAAUUGAUGCUCGUAACCAGGACUAGGUAGGGGAAUACGAACUAAUACAGCUACUGUCUUCCAAAAUGAUCUAAAUUGUAUACCAUAUGAUAUAUGUAUUACCGUGAUAUAUGCCUAAAAGUGAAUUUCAUUUCCCAUUAAAGGACUGCCAAAUAGACAGUAGUUAUUUUAAUUGGUACAACACAGUAGUGCUGUGCAAUUUAAUCGUCGAUUCUAAAAAUGGAAAAGUGAAUAAUAACAGCUUAGCCUGUAUAUUCUGAAAAGAAUAGGAAAAAUUCUAUACCAGGAAGCUAUGCAUAUUUAUAAAUGUUGUUUCUUCAAUGAGCCACUUAGGGAUAGGCCCUGCAAGGAAAUAAAUCAUGUUUAGAAUGCCUAUAGUGUGCCUCACCCAUAGAUCUCAAAGCACUUUACAAAGCUAAGCAAGUUGCACGAUUAUUGUUUUGCAAAGGGGAGAAGCCGUAUAUCAGAAAGGUGAUUUCCCUGGCAUUUAGAAAGACUAUGAUCCUGAGUUUGGUUCAGGACAUGAACUGGAACAUAAACUCAAUCCAAGAAGCCAAUGAAGCCCCUUCAGGCUAAACUAACAGUGAGUUCUAACAAUAAAUGCCUUUUAAUCAGCGAACAACUGUUCUCUCUGUGUGCAUAUAUAUGUCUAUCUUUAAAGAUGUGUAUGUGUGUAUGUUCACAUAUACACACCCAGGAUCCAAGUACGUAAUGAAGGAUAAUCUGAACAAGGAGAUAAGAGUCCAAGUACCUAAAGAUGGAUAACCUGGCAGAAACAAGGAGGCAACAAGCCUGGUCCGAUUCUUCUCUGACAAUGAGGAAAGGUUGUUCAAUCUUCUUCAGUCUCACGCCACAGCUGUGGUACAACAGGUAGCCUCAGAAAGGAUCAGGUUAGGGAAAUCUGAGAGCUACUCCCAAGUAUCCAAAAGCAGGCCAGUAUGCAUGGCAGCUAUGAGCCACCAUUUCUAUAUAUCUAUUUUGCAUAAUUUGGCUCGAACUGAUGAGCUGUAACCAUCGUUACUUUUGUACAUUUGUACAGUUAAUGUGCAUCCAAAACAUCGCAGCUCCUGAGCUCAAAACUCAGUAUGUUACACAAAAAAUCUUGAACCUGUGGCUGGCUUAAAAUGCAAAGCAGCAUUUUCUAAAAGAAAAUGAACACAAGCGUAACGAAUGCAACAUUUUGGUAAUACCAGCACAAGGUAAAAACCAUCAGUAGGAAGGUUCUGUGUUCCAAUGACUGCCUACAUAAUUGCAAAGCACCAAAAAGGACACACUGAACUGCUUGAAGGAUGGAAGUUCUAAUCUCAUUAACAUUUUAGAUGCCACAAGACGUGGAAGCUCCAUCUGCCGCCAGCAAUAUCAUGUUGAGAAUCAGGGUGACUAGGGAACAGGCCUCAUGGGCCUCCACAAUGGUCUAUUGACUUUCUGGUGAAGCAGAUACCAUGUGACAGAGAUUGCCUAUCUCAGCAGACAGGAUGGAAACAGGAGAAAGUGUUAAAUAUAACCAGGUAGACAGUGAUGAAUUGACAUGCUGAAAAAUCGAACGCUUCAGUAAUCAGCCUAAGGAUCUGAUAUCAACAACAUUUUUCAGUUUUGUCCGAAUUCAUUCAAAGGUGUAGUUUAGCAAGCUCACUUCUUGUUGGUAAGACCUUUCAUCUUUAUGCAGGUUUUCUGAUUGGAUUCUGAGAUGUCACCAUUGGCCUCCUUGUCAUUGCUGUUCUUUACAUAGAAAACAGACAAAACAUUUGCAUGAGAGUAAAAUGGCCUGAACAAACCCGGAAAUGCCUUGACUUGCAAUAUCUAUUAGAAAUUAUUAUCUUUCCCUACUCCCAAUGAGAGGUUAGGGCCACAUUUCAUCCCAGCAUUUACAUACAUAGUUGUUCAAGGCCUCCAAGAGUUUUCCAAAACAUAUCUGUGGCCCUGAUCCGAUAUCAAGUAAACGUCACACCAAGAAAGAAGGAAUCCAUCUUCAGGCCUUGUUGCAAGUUGGAGAUGACAUUUAAUUGAGGCAAGCUGCGCAGCUUCCUGAGGAGAGGCCCUCAGCAGGCUGCAGGUGGCCUGGGGGAUCAGGUCGCCAUAAAAGUAGUCCGACAGGUGGCUUGCCCAGUUCAGGGGGCGGUGGUGCUGGGGGCCCUCUCACCAAGUCAGAUGUGAAUUCCACCCUCACAGCUCUGAGUUCUUCCCCACAGGAAAGUUGUUUACGGAAAACUUAAAACAAUGAAAUAUUGCAAGUAUAUUUAGCACACCGAAGCUUUUGGAACCAUAAUUCUAAUUACAGAAGUCUAAUGAAUGUUUUUAUGGCUUCAUUAAAUCUUUGGGAUAUUUAUAUUAUACAAAGAAAUAAUCUCCAUCCAUUAAGAGUGCAUAAAUCCUGAAGUAGAACUUUAAAAAUUGCUAUGGAUAUGCUUAUUUCAUUGCAAAACACAUAUAGAGAAUUUAAAGAAAUCCAUUAAUAGGAUUAUAUACCUUUCUUCUAAAAUAUAUUUUCAACAUAAUAUUUUACUACAGAGGUCUGACUGCUAGCAAAGAAAUGCAGGAGAAGACGUUCUAAAGUAAUUACUCAGAUGGUCAAAUGGACAAAAAUUAUUCAGCUAAUGUUUGAAAGAUAUUUCAUAAGGGAAAAGUUGAGUGUAUUUUCCAUCUGUAUAAAGAAGCCAGGUUCCCUACACCUCAAAAUUAAUCGCUGGGAGUGCAAAUGUCAGAAAUCUGGAAGUGUGAAAAAGAAGAAAAGAAGAAAUUUUUUAGGGUAUAUUUAUCUCAAGCAUGUGCACAGGCAUUUAAGGUUUUUAGAACAGCUGUAAAUCACAUAUGCAAAGCACCAGGAUUGCAGCAGGACAUACAGUUCUUAUGUGAGCGAUUCUGUUAUCCAAAGGGUCUGAUGUCUUCAGCUGCCGCUCCAGAAGGGCGUGGCUCUAGCCAAGCAGACAGAACAGACCCCUCAAGUGGCCAAGGACAUCUGCAAUGGCACUAGGCACCCUUGUGUGGAUAACCAAACUUCCUACGCAUCUCAUAUUGCAUUAUCCCAGAAGGCAUCAUGAGCUUUAUUCAGUCUCUUGGAGCAAAAUCGGACUCCUCUCUUCGUCAGAUACUCAGUGAAGAGUGGGUCUCACAAUCUGAAAAGAGCAUUUCUGAGGUAGUGAUGAAUUUCUUUUUCAAGAAAAAGAAAAUGAAAAUGGGAAAGAGAAGGGAAAAGAAAAAGAGAAGGAAAAAGAAAGAAAAAGGGAAUAAAGAGGAAAAAAAAAGAAAAGAAGAAGAAAAAGAAGAAGAGGAAAAGGAAAAGAAAAGGAAAAAGAAAAAAAAGAAAAAGAAGAAAAAGAGAAAGAGAAAAGGAAAAGGAAAAAGGAAA